CUCAGCGACAAUCUUCCUUAUCACACCUCCCAAAAAUUAGUUCCUGUUAUAUUUUUCUCACAUGAAAGAAAUUUAGAGUGAACUGGCAAACUGUAUCUGCGAAGGUCGGCACUGAGCUCUUCUCAGCACGAACACGGACGUGAUCAUGGAGGUGACAAGGGCUCUUGAAAAUGUGAGAUUAACCACUUGGUGUUUAGAAAGGGUUUGUAAUUCACAUAAUUAUUGGAACUUCUGAAGGACGAAGGACGUAAGCAGACCAGAGCCUUGAUGAUGUCUGCUCUCUGAAGUUCUUAUUGCUGAAAUCUAAGAAGCCGGAGAAGGGUGGUCUCAAUAUAUUGAGUUUGUAACACAUUACGCUCUUGGAGAUUCAGACUUGGAAUUCAAACUCUACUUGACAUUUCUGAACUUCAUUAAAUUCACGACCAGUCGGAACAUCCUUUAGAACAGAACAUUUCC
rnacentral:lncRNA from 1 species